UGCCAUGGUGCCUCUGUGCCAUGGUGCCACCAUGCCGUGAUGCCACCAUGCCAUGGUGCUAACGUGCCAUGGUGCCACCGUGCUGCAGUGCCAUGCCACUGUGCCAUAAUGACGCCAUGCAGCGGUGCCACCGUGCCGUGGUGCCACUGUGCCUUGGUGCCACCGUGCCGUUAUGUCACCGUGUCAUGAUGCCACUGUGCCAUGAUGCCACCGUGCCAUGGUGCCACCGUGCCGUGGUGCCACCGUGCCCACCUUUGCCACCCUCCAGUCUUCGUGACGCUGACCUGCGCCUUCCGCUACGGCCGCGAGGACCUGGACGUGCUGGGGCUGACGUUCCGCAAGGACCUGUUCGUGGCCAACGUGCAGGCCUUCCCCCCGGUCCCCGAGGAGAAGAAGCCCCUGACGCGGCUGCAGGAGCGGCUGAUCAAGAAGCUGGGCGAGCACGCCUACCCCUUCACCUUCGAGGUAGGGCCCCCUCCUCUUCCUCUCGCCCCCCCGCGGGGGGGAGAAAUCGGGGUGCUGCAGCUCCCGAGCCCAGCCCUGGGGCGCGGCGUCACCCGUGUGGGUGCUGGGUGCUGGGGCGUGGGGCUUUUUGGGGUCCUGCACGCGGGCACAGCAUCCCCGGGGGGAUCUGGGGGUGGCCAAAGGGGUGCUGGGCAAAGACGCGGUGGCUUCUGGAUGCUCUUGCCCUGGAGGAAAGCAGCCUCUGUGCAAUGCAGCCAGUGGGGAAACUGAGGCAGGGGCGGCCCCGCUGCCUGGUGGCACAGGGGGUCCGUGGCCAGGCGGUGACACGGCCCCGGGAGGCUCCCCCCGAGCGAAGCAGAGCCCCGGGGAGCCCCCGAGCCCCGGGGAGCCCCCCUGCCGCGUCCGUGCCAUUAGCGUCAGCGCAGGGGAUCGAAGCUGUUCCUCCCCGCCACGCUUUAAUUGCGGCGGUAAUUAGCUGCGUUAAUUCCAGCCUUGUCUGGGAGCCGGGGAGGAGCGGGAGGAAAUUUCCAUUGCAGCCCUCCCGAGCUGGUGGUGGGCAGCAAAAUAAGGAGCUUCGGCAGAUAAUGGGGGGCAACCCCCCCCUUAGCCAGGGGCAUGGGCACCCUGAGCGCCCCCGGCCCCGGCACGGCUUCUGGCGGAGCCCCCCGGGGGACCCGGUGCCGUUUUCCAGGCGUGAGCUCUCAGCUAAACCCCCCGGGAUCAGCGGGAUCACAACCAGGCGCGAGCCC
rnacentral:lncRNA from 1 species